CAGUGCGUGGAAGUCUUUCAUAGACGCGGUGUUUUUGUUUUAGUGUUAAUACGUAGUACGUAAUUGAUUAACGGUAAAGUGAAGUGAACGUAUUAGGACAUUGCAUUAUGAACAGACAUUGAGGAAAAUGUAAACUUUUAUUAGUAUUUCAUUAAGAACAUUUUAAAAAGCACAAAGAUAAGUGUAAAUAAGCCGGUUUGUGAAGUGCCGUUAAAGAACAAAGGAACAAAGGGAACUGUGGAAAAACUUUUACCAUUUACACAUUAAUUUGCUAAUGAAAGGAAUAAAUAAAUAUAUAUAAGAACUAUUUAAUGAUUUAAAGUGGACAAUUAAAGGUGAUAGUGAACAGUGAAUUAUAAAAAACAGUUAUCCCCUAUGUACGUCAGGAGAUAUGUAUGUUUUACCUGGUGUUCGAUGUCUCCCCUCGUGUUUUAUGUGGCGUAAUAUUAGUGAGUGUGCGAUUUUCAAUCAAAUAAAAGAUUUUUUUCGAAACUUCAAACAUAGGAAAAUUGGUGUUAAAUCUUUAAUUUAGUUCGCGCUUAUCUCCGAUUUAAUGUUUUAACUUUUGGUGCCUUUUUUCGUAAUGUAUCGUUGAUUACUGCAAUAAAACGUAGCCAACCAAGAAAGUGCACUUAUAUUUGCUGCACCGGCAUUCUGCAUAUUUUCCCCUUCAUAUUGUGUCAGAAAUUCGCAACUUAUUCCUGUUAUUUGAGGAGGUGCCAUAAAAGAGUCAACUUAGAGUCUGUCUACGAAAUUUGAUAUUUGCAUUUAAAGUUAUGAGCUAAGAUGAAUCCAAUUGAAUCUGUAA